AUGCGUAUCGGAAACUCGUCCAAAAACUGGACACAAACGUGUCUGGUCUUUGGGGGAGGCCCAGGCUUUGGGGGAAGUAGAGAGAGGCUUACAUCACGCAAUUGGACUAAUAUCAGCCCUAUGGACGAGCAUUAUCGCAACUUAAGCGCCUUUUGCGGCAUCGAUGGACCCACCAAAAAACCCCUAGGAGCUUAUGGGUCCGRGAACAGACCCUUCCAGGGCCCAUACAAUAUAGGGCCUCCCAGGGCAUUGCCACCUGGAGUAUUUCUUAUAUGUGGGGACCGAGCUUGGCAGGGCAUUCCUGGGAACGCGUAUGGGGGACCGUGCUAUCUGGGAAAAUUGACACUAUUGGCCCCGGAUACCAAUUGGUGGAAGAAUGUCACAAGUGGGAAGAUUGCUACCCGCCGCAAGAGAGCUGUUACUGGCUUAUCCCCCGACUGUGAUGACAGGGUGUCCCUGUUAAGUCCCACAGAGCGAGUGUUUCUGUCCCUUUUUGUACCYGGGGCAGCCGCCGGCGACGCCCUGAACCAGAUCGGGCGUUUAGCCUGCUGGGCGGAAAAACAAGCCAAYGUCACCACGCARGUGAUUGAAAGCCUGCUAGAAGACCAAAAGGGCCUAAGGCAUGCCAUACUGCAAGACCGGGCUGCAAUUGACUUUCUAUUGCUAGCCCAAGGCCAUGGUUGUGAGGAUUUUGAAGGUAUGUGCUGUAUGAACUUGUCUGAUCAUAGUGAAUCCAUUCACAAACAAUUGCGGUGGUUGAAGAAGCACACAGGCAAAAUCCGUCAGAACCAUGGGUUUUUAGACGAAUGGCUCACUAACCUGUUUGGCAAUCUACCACAGUGGCUAAUAGGACUGCUCGCUGAAGGCUUGCGCAUUKUGCUAAUCCUCAUAAUUAUAGGCUUAUGCUUGUGUGUAAUACUGAGCUGCGUUAAGAAAGCCUUGCUGAAAGUAGCGGGCCAAGUCUGGAUUGCUCGAAAACAAGAAGGAGAACUUCUGGAGGAAUGGCUGGGCUUUGGGGGGGGAUAUAGUCUGUUGGAGAUGAGCAAGCCCGCCUAUGCCCUUAAGGGUUUCCCUAAACGACGAAGACACGGACAUCGCCUGCGUUAA
rnacentral:lncRNA from 1 species